rnacentral:rRNA from 1 species
UGGCGGCAUGCCUUACACAUGCAAGUCGAACGGCAGCACGGGAGCUUGCUCCUGGUGGCGAGUGGCGAACGGGUGAGUAAUGCAUCGGAACGUGCCCUGAAGUGGGGGAUAACGUAGCGAAAGUUACGCUAAUACCGCAUAUUCUGUGAGCAGGAAAGCAGGGGAUCUUCGGACCUUGCGCUUUUGGAGCGGCCGAUGUCGGAUUAGCUAGUUGGUGAGGUAAAGGCUCACCAAGGCGACGAUCCGUAGCGGGUCUGAGAGGAUGAUCCGCCACACUGGGACUGAGACACGGCCCAGACUCCUACGGGAGGCAGCAGUGGGGAAUUUUGGACAAUGGGCGCAAGCCUGAUCCAGCCAUGCCGCGUGAGUGAAGAAGGCCUUCGGGUUGUAAAGCUCUUUCGGUGGGGAAGAAAUUGCUUCGGUUAAUACCUGGAGUAGAUGACGGUACCCGCAUAAGAAGCACCGGCUAACUACGUG